UUUAUCUAUUCAAAUCCCAAAAUGUAUUUUUCUUUGAUUUUCUUGUUCAAAAUUCCAACUCCUUCAUUAUUCAUAUGAAUCAUAUGUGAAGUUGAUCCUCCCAUAGUCCCAUGGCGUACUCAUUGACUCUCGUCUCUUAGACUUCUUGAGCCAUUUCCCUUUUGAUGUUCUCCGUUGCUCGUUGUUUCACCCACCUUCUACGCUCUGAACUCCUGCACCCCAUCAAACACUCCCUAAUCAAACUCUUCUCACAAUCAACCCCACAAGUUUCAAUGUCGUCCGAAACCCCAGAACAAUUAAAUUCAACUUCAAUGGAAGAAACCCAAUUGGCAAAUGACCCCAAAACCCCAUCAAUCUCCCCUUACCCGACUCCAUUAUCCCCACCAUUGCCCCUAAUUUCCAAAGAAAUCGAGCUUAGCAGAGCCAUGUCCGCUUCUUCUAAGGCCACCACCUUUUCUCUUUCCAGGGAUGACGUUAUCUUUGAGGAUCAAUGGUUGCUUGUUGUCAAUAAACCCUUUGGGAUUUACUGUGAGACUGUCUUGUUUUCUGUCCCUCAUCUUCUCCAACAGUCUCCUGAUUCAGUUGAAGCUUCAGAGUUCCACCUUGCUAACAGGCUGGAUCGUGAUACAAGUGGUGUAAUGGUUAUAACCAAAUUACACAAAGUAGCUGGCAAGCUUGUCAAGGCCUUUACUGAUCACAAGGUCCAAAAAACUUAUAUGGCUCUUUGUGUAGGUUCUGCACCAAAAUGGGACAGGAUCAGGUUGCAAUCUGGCCAUGGUAGGUCUAAAUAUGGUGCUUGGCGUGUAUAUGCUUCAUCAGUUGUUGGACGGAAACUACCUGGUGGAUCUGCGGUGAAGCACAUGGAGACUCUUUUCGAGUUAUUAUCAGUAAAUAGGACUGUCCAUUUUAUAGAGCCAUCUAAAUGUGCAAAAGAUCAAGAAAAAACUGUGGUAGUUGAGGAGAAAUCAUCAACAGAUGCUAACCAAGGAAGGGAUGAGAUAUUGGUCCGAGCUUUUCCAAAGAGUGGAAGGACACAUCAAAUCCGGCUGCACUGUCAGUACCUCGGAAUGCCUAUAAAAGGGGAUGUAAAAUAUGAAGGUGUCUGUGAAUGGAAAGGGGAGAUUUGUGAUGGCCAUACCCUUCAUGCAGAGAGUUUAUCAUUGGAACACCCAGUUACUGGUCUUCCAGUCAAAUUUCAUGCACCAUUGCCUCUCUGGGCAACCCAAGCUAUGCAAUCACGAUGAUUUCACAUAGGGGUGAACCAAGUCACACGCCAAUAUGUUUUUCGAGAACGCCGAGAGAUGGUUUGAUUGGGACAUUUGGAUUGGGAAUGUGCAUUUAAGUUCGGGAAGUGACAGUUCUUAUAAUCUACUUAUCGUGGACUGAAACAGACUUUGUUUCAAUUCCUACAACUUGAGCUGUUGAGAUACCUUUGACUUGGUCUGCUAAUCUUGUUUCUGAGUUCCAAUUGAUUUAACGAGUUGCGGAAUCAUACUGAGUUCUGGUUACUCUAAGAAACUACUCAAUCUCUGUUUGGACAUAGAAAUGAAGCUUCUUUGUGGGAGAACUGGAUGUUAAAGAACUUUUACGCAAACUCCCAGUUCGAGAAUUAGUGCAAGAAACAAAACUGGCAUUUGCAUCUAAUAGUAAACAUCAUGCAAUUAGUCAUAUGUGGAAAUUGGAAUUGCUGCUUGUACAUUCAGCACUUCUUAUUGUGGCAAUCAGUACAAUCACGUUUCCCAUCCUUUUAUGGGUUGCUUGCUUGGGUGGUCUUUGCUGGUAAAAGCUUCCCUAUUUUGAUGGCUUCCCUUCUCAUGGUACAAAAUUCAGGUUCUUGGUUCUUCUGCUUGCAAUGAUGAUUAGAAGAGGAUGGUGAAAAUCCAGUGUGUUGGAAGGUGUUUUCCAUAUAUCAUCCAUCAGCUCUAAUUGGAAGAUGUUGGCACUGUCUGCUGCAGAAAGCGGGUAAUAAAUGGACGGACAAAUCUUCAUAUUUGGACCACCAUUCAACAAAAGAAAUAUCUCCCAUAUUUAUGUCUGUUUUUGGUACUGUCCUUAUGCUUGGUUCUGUGAAGGACUUCAGUCUUGAAAAUCAUCUAUGCACUAAAAUUGAGGGUCAUAUGUGCAAGUCAGACCUUGCCAUAGCUAUUUUCAGUACAAUUGCAUUCACACUUGGGCACUAGGAUUCCCUGGAAUGAAGAUGGCGAUGCAUGCCAAAGUUAGAAGCAAGGAAAGGCAUUUAUAAUGCUUUCAAAUCUGAUGCGGUAAUGGGAUUCCUUCUUGCUGCCAAUGGACUUCUAGUCCUGUAUGUCUCAGUUCAAUCGGUUUGUCGAGGUUUUACUAUGGCAACAAUUGGCAGCGAUACGAAGAGUCUAUUACUGGUUAUGGUCUUGUUGGUUCAUCCAUGGCUUUGCUUGGAAGAGUUGUGCUGACUAUGCUGGUAAAGUUGAAAGAAAUCUCCCCAAGGGUGGUUCUAGAAAUCCAGCUGUAAUAUGUGCGACAAUGUAGAAGAUAUUGCUGGGUUGGCCUCUGACUUGUAUGGAUCCUGUGCUGAACCUUCUUGUGCAGCACUCUUUGUAGCAUCAAUAUCCUCCUUUAUGCUUCAUCUUCACGGCUAUGUCCAAUCUACUGAUGAUCAGCUCCAUGGGAAUCUUACUCUGCUUGAUAACCACACUUUUUGCAACUGACAUGUUCAACGUCAAGAGUGUGAAGGACAAUAGGACAUUGAGCCCUCCUUGGAGCGCCAACUUAUUUGAGUAUCGGCUGCUCUCAUGACAGUUAGACAUUGCCGUGGGUACUUUGUUCACUUUUUCUCUCUGUUCAAUUUUAUGGACAUUAUGAUUGUGAAGAUCCGGCACCUAUGUUACUUUUAACUCUGGUUGGAGGAAGGUGUCGGAUCCUCCGAUCCUUCGACAUGACUUGACACCCAAAUAUAUAGUGCCCUUGUAUGAAACCUAGUACAUCUAGACUUCUAGAGUGUUAGAGGAAUGUCAGAUCCUCCGAUCCCUUGUCGGACACGACACCCACAUAAGAGGCUGAGCAACAUAGUCCGUCACCUUGAUGUUUGGUGUGGCAGUUGGCUAGUGUGCUGGGCUCGCCAUUUGUUGAGCGAUGAAGUACUGCAGGAGUAAUGCUUAUCGAUCAAUGAGUCAGUUUUCAUUUUGAAAUUGUGGUUUAUGCUGAAUUCGUUCAUGUUAAUUCUAGAUGGGAUUGCUUACCCGUACCCAGAUGAUCUACUUACGGGGUAGCAUGUGUAAGGCUGUAAGGUCUUGGCCUAGCCUCAUCAAAUCCCAGGUCAUGUGGCUGAGGUAUUCAGGACAAGAGAACAAACAAAUGCGAUUUUGGUUUGGUUUGGUUUGGUUUUGGGUUAUACUUAUAUUAGGCCAUCCGAAUACGCUAUUGCAGUAGCUAUUUAUGUAACCGUCAACGGCUGGUGUGUAUAGGAUUGCAAUGGUUAUUUGGUUAUGCUCAGCUCCGUUACUUUACUGGCCUUACUAUUGAUGUUUAUGGUCCCGUACACCCUUACUCCAUUGCUAAAUUGGUGCCAUGGGAUCGGGAACUGAUGCUCUUGAUUCUGCUGGCAUGGGUUGCUGUAUACACGCUUCAGAAGCAGGAGGUGCAUAAUGCAAAGAGAUACAUCAUUACAUUGAGUGUGGCUUUCAGCAGGCUGGUACUACGGAUCAUGUCAAAAUGCUGGGUCAGAAGGGUCAAUCUCACACAAGGCUGCAGUCAUUGGCAACACCAUUAUAAACAACCACCUUCGGUCCUGCACUAAACAUCCUCGUCAAAUUCAUGGCAGUUUAUUCGUUCUUGCUCCGGUGGAAGUCCGCAACUUGUCAGCAUGUAUAUCGAGAAGUUAAUCAAGUUGCCUAUUUCAUUACAAUUGUGAGCCAUCAUAUUUUGAUCAAUAUUGGGCCUUGUAUAAUCUUGUACAACUAUGAAAUAAACUAGGAUUAAACCCGGGCUGUUUUUUUUGGUUCUACUACGAGGAGUUCCCACCGCUUUCGGCGAGUGGACUAAUCUCCCGCGGGAGUUUGUGUGGGUACUUCGAUAGGCAGCAUCCCUCUCAGUUGAGGUUUUUUCUAUUCCCAUGGCUCGAACUCGAGGCAUUUGUUAAGGAACAAGAGACCCUUGGUCUUAAACCCGGGGUUGUUGAUCAUCACAUAAGUGUAAUUUGUCCUCUACUCAUUUAACAGUAGCAACCAAGUUGGGAGUAGUAGGUAACUUGUACCCGUAAUUAAAAAAAACAGAUAAAAACGGAAGUGCAGAUCAUUCGCUUCUUCAGCUGGUUUUUUUUACUGAUACCAUGUCACAUGUCA